rnacentral:rRNA from 1 species
GAUGAACGCUGGCGGCGUGCCUAAUACAUGCAAGUCGAGCGAACAGACGAGGAGCUUGCUCCUCUGACGUUAGCGGCGGACGGGUGAGUAACACGUGGAUAACCUACCUAUAAGACUGGGAUAACUUCGGGAAACCGGAGCUAAUACCGGAUAAUAUAUUGAACCGCAUGGUUCAAUAGUGAAAGACGGUUUUGCUGUCACUUAUAGAUGGAUCCGCGCCGCAUUAGCUAGUUGGUAAGGUAACGGCUUACCAAGGCAACGAUGCGUAGCCGACCUGAGAGGGUGAUCGGCCACACUGGAACUGAGACACGGUCCAGACUCCUACGGGAGGCAGCAGUAGGGAAUCUUCCGCAAUGGGCGAAAUCCUGACGGAGCAACGCCGCGUGAGUGAUGAAGGUCUUCGGAUCGUAAAACUCUGUUAUUAGGGAAGAACAAAUGUGUAAGUAACUAUGCACGUCUUGACGGUACCUAAUCAGAAAGCCACGGCUAACUACGUG